rnacentral:pre_miRNA from 1 species
CACGAACCGCGACUAAAGGCUCUUUCCGCGCGGGAACGAAAACGGCGCGAAAGAACCUUUAGUCGCGGGUCGUG